GAAAACGAUUCAAGACAGACAAGAGCUGCGGCGGUGGGUAGAGGACUCCUACAGAUGCGAGGUAAGGAGCUUUCCUCUCUGCAGUUGCAGGAUCCUUAAGCGCUCAUGAAGAUGGUGCCACAGCCCCUAGACUCUCUCAACACACACUUUCUCAGGUGUUGGCUUUUUCAGAUCGCCCCUUCUGCUGCAAGAAAGGCCCUCAACAACUGGGUAAGUUUUUUUUUUCCCCCUCCUUGCUUUUGGGCCAAGUCAGGACAUGUAUGUAUUUUUCUCCCCACAGCUCUGUGCCCAAGCCUUGCAGAGGGAGACGGCAGAGAGGAAGGCUGCCUGCAAGCAGCACAGGUCAAUUCUUUUUCUCUAUCUUCAAGAUGGGAAAUGAUGGAAAAGCAAGGAGUUCCAGAGAGACACAUGAGUCAGGAAGCCAUAAAGGCUUAA
rnacentral:lncRNA from 1 species